rnacentral:tRNA from 1 species
GGGUUGGUGGUUUAGUGGUAAGCGUGGCUGUCUCUCACUCCAGUUGGCCUGGGUUCGAUCCCAGUCAGCCCC